UUCCCGGUGGUGUAAUGGUAGCACUGCAGAUUCUGGCUCUGUUAGUGGGGGUUCAAGUCCUCCCCGGGAAG
rnacentral:tRNA from 1 species